ACGAACGCUGGCGGCACGCUUAACACAUGCAAGUCGAACGAGAGAAGAGAAGCUUGCUUUUCUGAUCUAGUGGCGGACGGGUGAGUAACACGUGAGCAAUCUGCCUUUCAGAGGGGGAUACCGAUUGGAAACGAUCGUUAAUACCGCAUAAUAUAAUUGAACCGCAUGAUUUGAUUAUCAAAGAUUUAUCGCUGAAAGAUGAGCUCGCGUCUGGUUAGCUAGUUGGUAAGGUAACGGCUUACCAAGGCGACGAUCAGUAGCCGGACUGAGAGGUUGAUCGGCCACAUUGGGACUGAGACACGGCCCAGACUCCUACGGGAGGCAGCAGUGGGGAAUAUUGCACAAUGGAGGAAACUCUGAUGCAGCGAUGCCGCGUGAGGGAAGAAGGUUUUAGGAUUGUAAACCUCUGUCUUCAGGGACGAAAAAAGACGGUACCUGAGGAGGAAGCUCCGGCUAACUACGUGCCAGCAGCCGCGGUAAUACGUAGGGAGCGAGCGUUGUCCGGAAUUACUGGGUGUAAAGGGAGCGUAGGCGGGAUCGCAAGUCAGAUGUGAAAACUAUGGGCUUAACCCAUAAACUGCAUUUGAAACUGUGGUUCUUGAGUGAAGUAGAGGUAAGCGGAAUUCCUAGUGUAGCGGUGAAAUGCGUAGAUAUUAGGAGGAACAUCAGUGGCGAAGGCGGCUUACUGGGCUUUAACUGACGCUGAGGCUCGAAAGCGUGGGGAGCAAACAGGAUUAGAUACCCUGGUAGUCCACGCCGUAAACGAUGAUUACUAGGUGUGGGGGGACUGACCCCUUCCGUGCCGCAGCAAACGCAAUAAGUAAUCCACCUGGGGAGUACGACCGCAAGGUUGAAACCCAAAGGAAUUGACGGGGGCCCGCACAAGCAGUGGAGUAUGUGGAUUAAUUCGAAGCAACGCGAAGAACCUUACCAGGUCUUGACAUCGUAUGCAUAGCUCAGAGAUGAGUGAAAUCUCUUCGGAGACAUAUAGACAGGUGGUGCAUGGUUGUCGUCAGCUCGUGUCGUGAGAUGUUGGGUUAAGUCCCGCAACGAGCGCAACCCUUACUGUUAGUUGCUACGCAAGAGCACUCUAGCAGGACUGCCGUUGACAAAACGGAGGAAGGUGGGGAUGACGUCAAAUCAUCAUGCCCCUUAUGACCUGGGCCUCACACGUACUACAAUGGCUGUUAACAGAGGGAUGCAAAGCCGCGAGGUGGAGCGAACCCCUAAAAGCAGUCUUAGUUCGGAUUGUAGGCUGCAACCCGCCUACAUGAAGUCGGAAUUGCUAGUAAUCGCAGAUCAGCAUGCUGCGGUGAAUACGUUCCCGGGCCUUGUACACACCGCCCGUCACGCCAUGGGAGUCGGUAACACCCGAAGCCUGUAGUCUAACCGCAAGGAGGACGCAGUCGAAGGUGGGAUUGAUGACUGGGGUG
rnacentral:rRNA from 1 species